rnacentral:rRNA from 1 species
GGAAUCUUCCACAAUGGACGAAAGUCUGAUGGAGCAACGCCGCGUGAGUGAUGAAGGUUUUCGGAUCGUAAAACUCUGUUGUAAGGGAAGAACAAGUACGAGAGGGAAUGCUCGUACCUUGACGGUACCUUGCGAGAAAGCCACGGCUAACUACGUGCCAGCAGCCGCGGUAAUACGUAGGUGGCAAGCGUUGUCCGGAAUUAUUGGGCGUAAAGCGCGCGCAGGCGGCCUUUUAAGUCUGAUGUGAAAGCCCCCGGCUCAACCGGGGAGGGUCAUUGGAAACUGGAAGGCUUGAGUACAGAAGAGAAGAGUGGAAUUCCAUGUGUAGCGGUGAAAUGCGUAGAGAUGUGGAGGAACACCAGUGGCGAAGGCGACUCUUUGGUCUGUAACUGACGCUGAGGCGCGAAAGCGUGGGGAGCAAACAGGAUUAGAUACCCCUG